rnacentral:rRNA from 1 species
UCAGACGAUGCGUCAUGCAUAUCAAUAAGCGGAGGAAAAGAAACUAACAAGGAUUCCCCUAGUAACGGCGAGUGAAGCGGGAAGAGCUCAAAUUUGAAAUCUUAAAGGGUUUCCCUUUACGAAUUGUAGUUUAAAGAAGUGUUUUCUGUUGAGGUUUUGGUAAAAGUUCUUUGGAAUAGGACAUCAUAGAGGGUGAGAAUCCCGUAUUUGACCUUUACUUUCAACUUUGUGAUACACUUUCAAAGAGUCGGAUUGUUUGGGAAUGCAGUCCAAAAUGGGUGGUAAAUUUCAUCUAAAGCUAAAUAUUGGCGAGAGACCGAUAGCGAACAAGUACCGUGAGGGAAAGAUGAAAAGAACUUUGAAAAGAGAGUUAAACAGUACGUGAAAUUGUCAAAAGGGAAGCGUUUGACACCAGUGUUGUUUUUCUGAAAAUCAAUUAAAGAACUGUUUAUGCUAAGCUUGUUUAGACUUUAUCAGCUAUCUGUUUAGUUUUGAGCUUUUCUUUAAUGCACUUUUCAGUUAACAAGUCAACAUCAAUUUCUUUUGCUGUAAAAAAGCUUGAGGAAGGUGGCUUGAGAUUCGUCUUAAGUGUUUAUAGCCUCUUGCCUAUGCAGUCGGAGAGAUUGAGGUCUGCAGCGUAGAUCCUUCGGGGCUAAAUGCAUUUGUGCUAAGUUAUAGCAUUUUAUAGACAACUUGUUGACUAUGAUUUGUCUUGUAGCUUACUCGCUUAUGUUAUUUUACCUACGCUUAGGAUGUUGAAUCUGUGCGAGACUAC